rnacentral:rRNA from 1 species
ACGUAGGGUGCAAGCGUUGUCCGGAUUUACUGGGCGUAAAGAGCGCGUAGGCGGUCUGUUAAGUGAGAAGUGAAAGCUCUGGGCUCAACCCAAAAAUUGCUUUUCAUACUGGCAGACUGGAGUGAUGCAGAGGUUUGUGGAAUUCCUGGUGUAGCGGUGAAAUGCGUUGAUAUCAGGAGGAACACCGAUGGCGAAGGCAGCAAACUGGGCAUUAACUGACGCUGAGGCGCGAAAGCGUGGGUAGCAAACAGGA